rnacentral:lncRNA from 1 species
CGUGGUCUCUCAUUUCGGACGGAGUAUGGAGACUUUAUGUGUUUUGGCGCCCAUACCGGACGGGGUAUGGGGACGGCCUGUUUCACCCUCAUACCGGACGGGGUAUUGAGGUUUAUGGUUUUGGUGCCCAUACCGGACGGGGUAUGGGGAUGACCCUGGAAUUAAGUUAUUAAUGUGAAUGGUUCACGUGUAGCGGGACCCCUUAUGGAUCCCCAUGGAUACUAGUAGGCUGAUAAAAGAGGAAAUUUAUUGCCUGAUGAUUGAAAUACAA